CGUUGUCCGGAAUUACUGGGUGUAAAGGGAGCGCAGGCGGGAAGACAAGUUGGAAGUGAAAUCUAUGGGCUCAACCCAUAAACUGCUUUCAAAACUGUUUUUCUUGAGUAGUGCAGAGGUAGGCGGAAUUCCCGGUGUAGCGGUGGAAUGCGUAGAUAUCGGGAGGAACACCAGUGGCGAAGGCGGCCUACUGGGCACCAACUGACGC
rnacentral:rRNA from 1 species